rnacentral:rRNA from 1 species
GACGAACGUUGGCGGCGUGCCUAACACAUGCAAGUUGAGCGUGGCCUUAGUUUACUAAGGUCUAGCAGCGGACGGCUGAGUAAUGAACAGGAACGUACCUCGAGGUGGGGGAUAGCCCUUCGAAAGAAGGGGUAAUACCGCAUAUGAUCGCAAGAUCAAAGCCGCAAGGCGCCACGAGAGCGGCCUGUUUCCUAUCAGGUAGUUGGUGGGGUAAAUGCCUACCAAGCCUAUGACGGGAGUUGGUCUGAGAGGAUGACCAGCCAGAUCGGGACUGAGACACGGCCCGAACUCCUACGGGAGGCAGCAGUUGGGAAUUUUGCAC